AGGCACGUAGCUCAGCUGGUUAGAGCGCUUGCUUGACAGGCAAGAGGUCAGCAGUUCGAGUCUGCUCGUGCCUA
rnacentral:tRNA from 1 species